rnacentral:tRNA from 1 species
GGCUCAGAUGGUAAAGCAUCUGCCUGCAAUGCAGGAGACCUGGGUUCGAUCCCUG